CAGAAUCAGGUUAACAUAGGGCAGAUGGAGAACACCUAGCAAUGCUGAGCACCUUCACAUGGGUGUUUUUGCACCUGAAGAAAAUUUUCAAUUAUUUUUGGGGCAAGUUUCUCAAGCUAAAUGUGCUGCCUGUUUUCCCUGUCCUCUCUGAGGCAGAGAGCUUGUGUAGAAGCCCAGAAGAUGAGAAGGCUAAUGUGUGUGUCUCGAACAUGGAUAACUGGAUAGCUGUGGAGCCAAGCAAGGAUCGUUGUCAUCAGAAUGUGCCCAGCUGAGAGGAGAUGAUGCAGCCAGGCUGCAUCCCUGAUCCAGAGCAAACCCAAGGUCAGAGCCAGAAAGGUGCUGCAGGUCUGGAGCCAGAAAGCUGGCUGGGGUUUCCACACAGCACAGACUGUGCAUCUGGGAGCAAACCAAGCCAUAAACCCAGAGAGGUCCCAUAUGGCUGGAUCCCCAUGGGCAGUGCUCAACUGAGGCCAGGUUUGAAAAUCAACCCUAAAAACAAGCACAUCGUCACCACUCACACCUUGGGAUGGUGUAAAAACCACAAUAAGGGGGAUUGAGCCUUAGGGGUUGAGGGUUGAUUAUUUAAAGAAUGUAACGAAGUGGAAGUGUCUCUACAUUCCAAUAUGGAGGUCUAGGAUUUCAUGGCAAGAUAUGCAUUGUGUUCCCUUCCUUCAUACAAGCACUGUCAGGCAAUCAGUAUUGUCUGACAGGGAUAAAUAAAAUAACCCCAGAUUAGUUUACUGUUUGUGCCUUGGCACAAUAAACCAUACAUUUGUAGUAAAUUAAAUUGUUUUGAUAGGUUCAGGAAGAAUAUUUUUAAAAAGUGUUUAAACAUAUCAAGGCAAAGCAAAACUCUUCUUAGCAUUCUCAUUCCCAGUUUACAGAUACUUGGGUUCUCCUCAUUCCUCUCUGUUUUGUUUUGUUUUUUUAAUUUAAUUCAAGCAGCAUGUAUCACCCUAUUUUAAAAACACCCCAUUUAAAAAAAUGAAGCAAUAUUUGUAUCAGUUUAACCUACUUCUGAGAUAUUUUGAUAGAGGCUCUAGGCUUAAUGCAGACUACUGCAGAAGGAUUUUUUGUUUGCACAGAAAGAAAUCUGCUUAUGGCAGGUUAAAACAAAGGAGAUAGGUCAGACUAGUCUGACCAACUGCCCCUUUAAUCAAAUAUAAGCUCAGUUUAGGGGAUUUUUUAAAAUGAAUUUAUCCUUAUCCCUAAGACAACUUGGCCCAAGAAAUAGGAGGCAAUAUCCUUUCUGCAACAAUCCUUACCAUUAACUGCAAUUUUAAAUAACAACCUGAGUUAUUAAUAUUACUGCCCAUGUUAAACUCUUUCAACAGUUUUCUACCUCCUAUUAAAAAAAACAAAACAAAAUGUGUUCUCUUCUGUUUCUUUCCAACACCAUUGAGGCCUUCUAGUUUUGUAUCUUGUUUUGUUCUCCAAGCUGUAGUUUCUUGCAAAUAGCAUUCUCCAAUUUCUGCUCUGACAACCAUUCCUGCAUUUUUCCAUGCACCCAUUUCCACUGAGGAAACAUGGAUCACAGAAUUUUUCAACAAUUGGCAGCUGAAGGAGACAGGAACAGGAGAGUGGCUAAAACUGGAUAGUGAAGAAGAUUAUUGCAGAUAAAAUGAUGGAAAAACAGGAAAGAAUUUGGCUGAACUGCAUGUGUGUGGUCAACGCUUGGACUCCAUGACAUGUGUCUUUUCCGACCUUAAUGAUUCUCUGAAAGACUGAAAAACAAGAUCAAGAGGUAAAGAACAACACGGAGGAAGAGGAAGAUGGGCAUUUUUAGCCUUUCACAGAAUCACAGAAGUUUAUUCCUAGUCAGAACUCAAGCUCUUAGUUAAAAGCUCUUCCAUCUGCCUGUAGCCAAGCUGUAAGUGAGGACAUCCAAAAGAAAAGAUAGGGAUUGUUUCUGGAAGAGGAAAAGAGCAGUUGCUUGUUGGGUACCAAGAAAAAUCAUGGCACACCAUUCAA